UACGGAGGGUGCAAGCGUUGUCCGGAUUUAUUGGGUUUAAAGGGUGCGUAGGUGGCUUGUUAAGUCCGGGGUGAAAGCCCACAGCUCAACUGUGGAACUGCCCUGGAUACUGGCGAGCUUGAGUCCAGACGAGGUUGGCGGAAUGGAAGCUGUAGCGGUGAAAUGCAUAGAUAGCUUCCAGAACCCCGAUUGCGUAGGCAGCUGACUAGGCUGGUACCGACACUGAGGCACGAAAGCGUGGGGAGCGAACAGG
rnacentral:rRNA from 1 species